UAAACAUUUUUUUUGCAAAGAAUUUAGGGAUUUUACCAUCUACGGUCCGUAAAAUUAUCAAAAGGUUCAGAGAAUCUGGAGAAAUCACUGCACGUAAGCGAUGUACUGCAUUAAAAACCGACAUCAGUGUGUAAAAGAUAUCACCACAUGGGCUCAGAAAUACUUCAGAAAACCACUGUCAGUUACUACAGUUGGUCGCUACAUCUGUAAAUGCAAGUUAAAACUCUACUAUGCAAAGCAAAUGCCAUUUAUCAACAAGACAGAGGAACGCCGCGGGCUUCGCUGGGCCCGAGCUCAUCUAGGAUGGACUGAUGCAAAGUGGAAAAGUGUUCUGUGGUCUGACGAGUCCACAUUUCAAAUUAUAUAUGGAAAUUGUGGACGUGGUGUUCUCCGGAACAAAGAGGAAAAUAACCAUCCGGCGCAAAGUUCAAAAGCCAGCAUGUGUGAUGGUAUGGGGGUGUAUUAGUGCCCAAAGCAUGGGUAACUUACACAUCUGAGAAGGCACCAUUAAUGCUGAAUGGUCCAUACAGGUUUUGGAGCAACAUAUGUUGUCAUCCAAGCAACAUUAUCAUGGACGCCCCUGCUUAUUUCAGCAAAACAAUGCCAAGCCACGUGUUACAACAGCUUGUCUUCGUAGUAAAAGAGUGCGGGUACUUUCCUGGCCCGCCUGCAGUCCAGACAUGUCUCCCAUCGAAAAUGUGUAGCGCAUUAUGAAGCGUAAAACACGACAACUUAAGCUUUACAUCAAGCAAGAAUGGUAAAGAAUUCCACUUUCAAAGCUUCAACAAUUAGUUUCCUCAGUUCCCAAACGUUUAUUGAGUGUUGUUAAAAGAAAAUGUGAUGUAACACAGUGGUGAACAUGCCCUUUCCCAAAUACUUUGGCACGUGUUGCAGCCAUGAAAUUCAAAGUUAAUUAUUAUUUGCAAAAAAAAAAAAGUUUGAGUUUGAACAUCAAAUAUGUUGUCUUUGUAAUGCUUUCAAUUGAAUAUGGGUUGAAAAGGAUUUGCAAAUCAUUGUAUUCAGUUUAUAUUUACAUCUAACACAAUUUCCCAACUUUUAUGGAAACGGGGUUUGUAUAUAUAUUAGUGCUGGGCAAUGAUUAACAUUUUUAAUCGAAGUUAAUCGCACUAUUUCUCUUAUUAAUCGCGAUUAACUGCAUUGUAUACGCAAAGCCCAAUAAUGAAUUCAAAAGUAGUGUGUAGUGCACCUUUAUUGGAAUAUUCUCCCACAUGAACAAAAGCGCCAAAACAUUUGUUGUGCAAACACAAUUUAAAUCAGUCCUUGUUAAACAGUAGCAGUUAAAUAGCAAAUUUUAUGAAAAUCAACUCCAAAAAUGUAAAUACAAACAUUUAAGCUUAUUGCCACUGCCAGGGUAUUUAAGUUAUCCUGUUUGUUAUGGAAAAUAAAUAUAAUCUACAUACAAAUAUCUGAGCCACAAUCAUAACAUCUGAACAGGCAAUUUCUGAGGUAACAGCAGAAACAUUUUUUUUUUUAUCAGGGAUCUUAUGUUUAAAAAACUUAUAUUAUAGGUAGUGGGCUGUUUUAGGGAAUUUUUGAUCAAAUUAUCCGUAGUAGCAAUAUUAAUAAUGUUGUGUUUAUUCUGCGUAGUGGACUUAAAAUAAUUAUGACCAUAUCUGUUUGCUUGGUGCUUUGAUAAACUGAACGCAUAUACAUGGUACUAUAUUGUGAUGUUAUGAGCCAGGGGAAAAAAGAACUACCCUACCCAGCAUGCAACAGGAGUGACGAGCAUGCGCGGUAGCCCGGGAUAGGUUGUGUCGCCAUGACGGCAUCUUGUAUGUUGUGAUAUGCAGGCUCUGAAAGUAAAUGUUAAGAACUCAGCCAACACUCCUUGUCUGCAUUAUUGAUAAAUAGACGGACAACACAUAUACUCCGCUGCUUCACAAAGCACAAUAUGUUAAAUGUUUACUUUUACAGUUUUCUAAUUCUUCCUUUCAGAUUGACAGCAGGACAAAUCGCUGGAAGUAGGUAUGUCUCAAGCUUCUUCCACUUGGUCCACUCCAAAGCGGGCUGCAAAGGGGAAGAAGUGGAAGCAGUUGAAUGACACAUGUUGCAUUUUGUAACUGGCAACAAAGUACCAGGUAAAAAAGAUUGUGAAGCCUGCCUCCAUAAAGAACUAGUAGCUCUACAGGACAGAGAUUGGCUUGCCAUCAAGUACUACAUCCAUAACAGAAUUAUAUUAAAAAAAGGGGAAAAAAAUGUUUUCCCACAUCUUCUGUGGUAGUUUGAGUAUGUUACCAGCAAUUAAAAAAGCAAAAUAAA